UCAGGAAANUCUGGAGUAAAAGGCUAUGGCUCAACCAUAGUGUGCUCUGGAAACUGUNUGACUUGAGUGCAGAAGGGGAGAGUGGAAUUCCAUGUGUAGCGGUGAAAUGCGUAGAUAUAUGGAGGAACACCAGUGGCGAAAGCGGCUCUCUGGUCUGUCACUGACGCUGAGGCUNGAAAGCGUGGGUAGCGAACAGGAUUAGAUACCCUGGUAGUCCACGCCGUAAACGAUGAGUGCUAGGUGUUAGGCCCUUUCCGGGGCUUAGUGCCGGAGCUAACGCAAUAAGCACUCCGCCUGGGGAGUACGACCGCAAGGUUGAAACUCAAAGGAAUUGACGGGGGCCCGCACAAGCGGUGGAGCAUGUGGUUUAAUUCGAAGCAACGCGAAGAACCUUACCAGGUCUUGACAUCCCGAUGCUAUUCUUAGAGAUAGGAAGUUACUUCGGUACAUCGGAGACAGGUGGUGCAUGGUUGUCGUCAGCUCGUGUCGUGAGAUGUUGGGUUAAGUCCCGCAACGAGCGCAACCCUUAUUGUUAGUUGCCAUCAUUAAGUUGGGCACUCUAGCGAGACUGCCGGUAAUAAACCGGAGGAAGGUGGGGAUGACGUCAAAUCAUCAUGCCCCUUAUGACCUGGGCUACACACGUGCUACAAUGGUCGGUACAACGAGUUGCGAGCCGGUGACGGCAAGCUAAUCUCUGAAAGCCGAUCUCAGUUCGGAUUGGAGGCUGCAACUCGCCUCCAUGAAGUCGGAAUCGCUAGUAAUCGCGGAUCAGCACGCCGCGGUGAAUACGUUCCCGGGCCUUGUACACACCGCCCGUCACACCACGAGAGUUUGUAACACCCGAAGUCGGUGAGGUAACCUUUUAGGGGCCAGCCGCCUAAGGUGGGANGGA
rnacentral:rRNA from 1 species